GCGCCAGUAGUGUAACGAAAAGAGCACGUAUUCCCGGUAAGAGUGAGGUGCGGGUUCUAGUCCCGCCUGGCGCC